rnacentral:rRNA from 1 species
ACGAACGCUGGCGGCGUGCCUAAUACAUGCAAGUCGAACGCUUCUUUCCUCCCGAGUGCUUGCACUCAAUUGGAAAGAGGCGUGGCGGACGGGUGAGUAACACGUGGGUAACCUACCCAUCAGAGGGGGAUAACACUUGGAAACAGGUGCUAAUACCGCAUAACAGUUUAUGCCGCAUGGCAUAAGAGUGAAAGGUGCUUUCGGGUGUCGCUGAUGGAUGGACCCGCGGGGCAUUAGCUAGUUGGUGAGGUAACGGCUCACCAAGGCCACGAUGCAUAGCCGACCUGAGAGGGUGAUCGGCCACACUGGGACUGAGACACGGCCCAGACUCCUACGGGAGGCAGCAGUAGGGAAUCUUCGGCAAAGGACGAAAGUCUGACCGAGCAACGCCGCGUGAGUGAAGAAGGUUUUCGGAUCGUAAAACUCUGUUGUUAGAGAAGAACAAGGACGUUAGUAACUGAACGUCCCCUGACGGUAUCUAACCAGAAAGCCACGGCUAACUACGUG